rnacentral:rRNA from 1 species
AUUGAACGCUGGCGGCAUGCUUUACACAUGCAAGUCGAACGGUAACAGGGAGCUUGCUCCGCUGACGAGUGGCGAACGGGUGAGUAAUGCAUCGGAACAUGCCCAGUCAUGGGGGAUAACUACGCGAAAGCGUAGCUAAUACCGCAUACGCCCUGAGGGGGAAAGUGGGGGAUCUUAGGACCUCACGUGAUUGGAGUGGCCGAUGUCAGAUUAGCUAGUUGGUGAGGUAAAGGCUCACCAAGGCGACGAUCUGUAGCGGGUCUGAGAGGAUGAUCCGCCACACUGGGACUGAGACACGGCCCAGACUCCUACGGGAGGCAGCAGUGGGGAAUUUUGGACAAUGGGCGCAAGCCUGAUCCAGCCAUGCCGCGUGAGUGAAGAAGGCC